rnacentral:rRNA from 1 species
GUAGGUGGCAAGCGUUGUCCGGAAUUAUUGGGCGUAAAGCGCGCGCAGGCGGUUCUUUAAGUCUGAUGUGAAAGCCCACGGCUCAACCGUGGAGGGUCAUUGGAAACUGGAGAACUUGAGUACAGAAGAGGAAAGCGGAAUUCCACGUGUAGCGGUGAAAUGCGUAGAGAUGUGGAGGAACACCAGUGGCGAAGGCGGCUUUCUGGUCUGUAACUGACGCUGAGGCGCGAAAGCGGUGGGGUAGCAAACAGGGAUUAGAUACCCGUGGUAGUCCACGCCGUAAACGAUGAGUGCUAAGUGUUACGGGGGUUUCCGCCCCCUUAGUGCUGCAGCUAACGCAUUAAGCACUCCGCCUGGGGAUACGGCCGCAAGGCUG